AACGAACGCUGGCGGCAUGCCUAACACAUGCAAGUCGAACGAGACCUUCGGGUCUAGUGGCGCACGGGUGCGUAACGCGUGGGAACCUGCCCUUAGGUUCGGAAUAACUCCCCGAAAGGGGUGCUAAUACCGGAUAAUGUCUUCGGACCAAAGAUUUAUGGCCUUUGGAUGGGCCCGCGUUGGAUUAGCUAGUUGGUAGGGUAAACGCCUACCAAGACGAGGAUCCGGAGCUGGUCGGAGAGGAGGAUCAGCGACACUGGGAUUGGGACACGGCCCAGACGCGAAGGGGCGGUGGAGGAGGGGAAACUAGGGGAGGGGGCGAAAUCCAGAACCGCCACGGCCGGGGGGGUGAUGAGGGCGUUGGGGUUGUAAUGCGCUUUACCCGGGAUGAUAAUGACAGUACCGGGAGAAUAAGCACCGGCUAACUCCGUG
rnacentral:rRNA from 1 species